rnacentral:RNase_P_RNA from 1 species
GAAGCGCGCCAGACCGCCGCUGGUGCAAUCUGGGAAACCAGGCACUGGAGGAACGUCCGGACUGCACAGGACAGCGUAGCAGCUAACGGCUGCCCACCGUGAGGUGAGGAUCAGAGCAACAGAGACGAGUUCGGGCGUAGAAGUACCCACCAGGGGUGUUCUGCGGUUUGCCAGCGCAAGCUGGCACGGCUGGCGCAAGCCAGACGGUGACGGGCGAUGAGCCCGGCACGACGCAGUCACCUCGGGCGCUUCGCGACCGAGGUGAAACGGGCAAUCUCUACGCGCAGCAAUACCAAGUAGGCCAGCGUUGAUGUGGUUCCGCAGAGCUGGCGGGUAGGUAGCACCGAGCCGUGGUGGCGACACCCGGCCCAGAUUAAUGGCGGUCACGCUGCGGGAGCCCGCAAGGGUUUCGGCAGUGCACAGAAUCCGGCUUAUCGGCGUGCUUCACAC